UACGGAGGAUGCGAGCGUUAUCCGGAUUUAUUGGGUUUAAAGGGUGCGUAGGCGGCUGGAUAAGCGUGAGGUGAAAUGCCGGGGCUCAACCUCGGAACUGCCUCGCGAACUGUCCGGCUUGAAUGCUCCUGCCGUGGGAGGAAUGUGUGGUGUAGCGGUGAAAUGCAUAGAGAUCACACAGAACACCGAUUGCGAAGGCAUCUCACGAAGGGGUGAUUGACGCUGAGGCACGAAAGCGUGGGGAUCAAAC
rnacentral:rRNA from 1 species